AGUGAACGCUGGCGGUAGGCCUAACACAUGCAAGUCGAACGGCAGCACAGUAAGAGCUUGCUCUUACGGGUGGCGAGUGGCGGACGGGUGAGGAAUACAUCGGAAUCUACUUUUUCGUGGGGGAUAACGUAGGGAAACUUACGCUAAUACCGCAUACGACCUACGGGUGAAAGCAGGGGAUCUUCGGACCUUGCGCGAUUGAAUGAGCCGAUGUCGGAUUAGCUAGUUGGCGGGGUAAAGGCCCACCAAGGCGACGAUCCGUAGCUGGUCUGAGAGGAUGAUCACCCACACUGGAACUGAGCCACGGUCCAGACUCCUACGGGAGGCAGCAGUGGGGAAUAUUGGACAAUAGGCGCAAGCCUGAUCCAGCGAUACCGCGUGGGUGAAGAAGGCCUUCGGGUUGUAAAGACCUUUUGUUGGGAAAGAAAAGCAGCAGGUUAAUACCCAGCUGUUGUGACGGUACCCAAAGAAUAAGCACCGGCUAACUUCGUG
rnacentral:rRNA from 1 species